rnacentral:rRNA from 1 species
GCAACAUCCAGCUUCAUGUAGGCGAGUUUCAGCCUACAAUCCGAACUGAGACAAGUUUUUGAGUUUUGCUCCACCUCGCGGUAUUGCUUCUCUUUGUACUUGCCAUUGUAGCACGUGUGUAGCCCUAGACAUAAGGGGCAUGAUGAUUUGACGUCAUCCCCACCUUCCUCCCGGUUAACCCGGGCAGUCUCGCUAGAGUGCUCAACUAAAUGGUAGCAACUAACAAUAAGGGUUGCGCUCGUUGCGGGACUUAACCCAACAUCUCACGACACGAGCUGACGACAACCAUGCACCACCUGUCUUCCUGUUCCCGAAGGAACUUCCCCGAUUAAGGGUAAUGCAGGAGAUGUCAAGUCUAGGUAAGGUUCUUCGCGUUGCUUCGAAUUAAACCACAUGCUCCGCUGCUUGUGCGGGCCCCCGUCAAUUCCUUUGAGUUUUAAUCUUGCGACCGUACUCCCCAGG